rnacentral:rRNA from 1 species
AACGUAGGGGACAAGCGUUAUCCGGAUUUACUGGGCGUAAAGCGCCCGUAGGCGGCCUGAUAAUUUGGACGUGAAAGCUCCCGGCUUAACUGGGAGAGGCCGUUCAAAACUGUGAGGCUAGAGUGAGGCAGAGGAGCGCGGAAUUCCCGGUGUAGUGGCGGAAUGCGUAGAGAUCGGGAGGAACACCAGUGGCGAAAGCGGCGCUCUGGGCCUAAACUGACGCUGAGGGGCGAAAGCCAGGGGAGCAAACGGG